rnacentral:rRNA from 1 species
AUGUUUGCCAGAAACCGUUUCUCCUCUCCUACGCACACCAUUGCCAUCCUCCUCUCCUCUCCUCUUAGUCUCACACCCAGCGAUGGGCAAGCCCGGCUACUGGUUCUCGGCGCCAGUGGGUUGAUCCAUAGGAAGCUCUUGAUCAUGGCGCCACCACCCAUGGUCUCUAGGCUCGUCGGCAUCCACCACUCUAUUGAUCAAGGAGGAGGAGGUGGUGCCAUCGUGUCCCGUUGCCAGUCCGAUUGUGAGUGGCACCCGGUGAAGAAGGAGGAUGAGGAUCCCGAUCGGAUGAUCGCCAACGCGCGCAGCCGCCUCCUCUUCUCGCACCAUGACGACGACCCACAAGUACUAUUCGCAGCCAAACUGUGGCAUCCGGCAGUAAUAAUAUUGACCCCCACCCCCCACCCCCCACCCAAAAAAAAAGACCAGAAAAUCACACCAGUGCAGACGGAGAAAGCCCUGGCGCAGGAUAAGUUUUGCUUUUCUAGUUUGGGUUGGCCCAUCCAGAUGGGUGGGCACCGGAGAGGGCGGGUAGCAGUGUACAUAAAAGCGAUCGAGCGGUGCGCACGGCAGGGGUGUUUGUGUGAGCGAGCGGGAGGGCGGAGAGGCAUUUUUACGGGAGCAGCAGGCCCGGCGAGGGUUUCCGGGAGGUCGGCCGCGCGCAUGGGAGAGGUGAGCACGCGAGCGAGCGAGGCCUUGCGUCGCCAGCAUUGCUGCGUGUUGCUGAUUUGUUUGCGCGCGUUCGAUUCCAUCGAUUUCUUCGGGGUACGACAUGAUUAUGGCCUUGCGGUUUCGGGCGUGGCUUCCCGAUAUGAGCUCUCGCGAGUGCGGCGGUGCUGUGGUUUCGCGUGGUUUGUUUUUGGUGCUUCUGCUGCCGGAGGUUUUGUCCCCGUGAAUGUUUUGCGCGACCUGGUCCGGGUUUCUCGCGGUUUCAUCACGCUCCCCCGUUCCAGUUUUUGGAGAUCCACCGGCUGCUGUCUUCUCAACCGAGAUUCUCCCGAGUUCGUCUUGCUUGUGCUUGUUUUUCCUUUACAAAAUAUAUAUCUGGUUUCCGUCCAUUGGUGGUGGGUUGUUGCUUUUGCUCCGUCGUUGCAAACGCUGGAGAGGGGCGUGGUCUUCUUCUUCUUUGUGCCGUUUGAGAUGAGGUCAUGUUUAUUCCCUUCCGGCUUUGCUUUUUCUUUUUUCUUCUUCUUGGGCGAUUUGAGCUUGAGCGAAGAGGGUGACGGGACGACGGACAAGAUGGGCAAGCAGGAUGACGACGUCUCCCGCGCCAUCGUGGAGGACGACACCGCGCUCCUCCUCGCGGCGGUGGACAGCAUCAAGAAGGCGGCGCUGGGCCGGCUGCGCAACGGCUCCGACGCCGCCAGGAUCCUCGAUCAGGAGAUGUCCAACAGGCUCCUCCACCUCGCCUGCAGGCACGACGCCGUCGAGUGUGCCAGGCUCCUCCUCGACGGGGAGUACGGGAUCACGCCGGCCUCCGUCGACGCCAGGGACCAGCUCACGCGGACGCCGCUCCACGUCGCCGCCGACGUGCACUUCAAGAGGUGCAUCCAGCUGCUCCUCUCCAGGAACGCCCGGACGGACGUCAGGCUGCUCGACGGCACACGCCUCGUCGCGCUCGAGGUCGCGCUCAUGAGCAGAAGGGUUCAAGUUGAUUGGUCACAGGACAACUCGGUCGAGGAUCUUCUGGCUUAUCUGCAACAAAAGGAUCUGAACGCGGUGAGGCUUCUGGCAGAGAAGACCAGGGAGGUUGGGGAGGUGGCUUACAGAUACGCCAUGGAGGGGCGUGUCUCUGCACUCGCAAUGCUGCUCCUGGUGGCUGAGGAAAGGAUAUGGGUGAUGGUGAGCGUGGUGAUUGAUGGCGUCAGGACAAAGAGAUCAAUCUACAACUCUGUUGUGGAUGAGGUUCUGUCGAUUGGAGAGGCUUCAGCUAGAGUGGGCAAUGAAAUGAGGAGGAAAGCCUUGCUCUGUGAGAUUCAGCUGCUUAACCAAUUUGGGGCCACGUCGUGGAGGGACCGGAAAGUUGACAGGAGAAGCUUGCCCCCUCUACUACCGAUUGCUGCAGGAGAUAUGAAUGUUACAAAGAUGCUUCUGAUGGGGGAUGUUGAUGUCAAUGAAACCGACCCCGAAGGAAACACGGCACUUCACUGGUGCCUCAGUAGUAGCUCAAGCACACAGGAGCCAAGGAUGCUCCUGCUGAAGAAUGGUGCCGGAGUUUUCCAGGGGAAUAAACUAGGUCUCACACCAGUGAACAGUACUGCAGCUAAGGACAAUUACAAGGCUCUUCAGAAAACAAAGACCAAUAGACGUGGCGACAUCCCAGGACAUGCAGUUCUUUCUCAACUCUGCAAAUGUGUGAACCAUGGCUCAACGGAAAAGAACCAUGCGAUGAAAAAAGAAAGGCAUAAGGAGCUGCUGGAUGAUGAUUUUGACGAUUAUGACAACGGCGAUUAUUAUGGAAGCUAUGUUGUGCCAAAGGCGUUAGUAGGUCACGGGGAUUUUCGUUCCAGCAAUUUAUCUACCCAAGGGGCUAAAAGUAAGAGCCACAGUGCCCCGAAAGAAGGUCCCAAAUUAUCUCAGCUGCAACUCGUAUAUGAAAAAACGUACAAUGAUUGA